CCCAUUAUAACUUUAAUGCUCAAAUUUAAGUAGUGAAGUGAACACAUGUUAAAAACUAAGACCAUCUCUAUCAAUGGUUUCUUAUCUAGAAACUGUUCAAAGUAUGAGAAAGAGUAGAAUUAGUUUUUCAAGUGAGAAACUCUGAGAAACCCAUAAAAAUAUUUAUAUAUCAUCUAUUGAUCAAAUAUUAUUUUAUUAUUAAAAUUUAAU
rnacentral:sRNA from 1 species